AACCACUUCGGUGGGGAUUAGUGGCGAACGGGUGAGUAACACGUGGGCAAUCUGCCCUUCACUCUGGGACAAGCCCUGGAAACGGGGUCUAAUACCGGAUACCACUACCGCAGGCAUCUGUGGUGGUUGAAAGCUCCGGCGGUGAAGGAUGAGCCCGCGGCCUAUCAGCUUGUUGGUGAGGUAAUGGCUCACCAAGGCGACGACGGGUAGCCGGCCUGAGAGGGCGACCGGCCACACUGGGACUGAGACACGGCCCAGACUCCUACGGGAGGCAGCAGUGGGGAAUAUUGCACAAUGGGCGAAAGCCUGAUGCAGCGACGCCGCGUGAGGGAUGACGGCCUUCGGGUUGUAAACCUCUUUCAGCAGGGAAGAAGCGAAAGUGACGGUACCUGCAGAAGAAGCGCCGGCUAACUACGUGCCAGCAGCCGCGGUAAUACGUAGGGCGCAAGCGUUGUCCGGAAUUAUUGGGCGUAAAGAGCUCGUAGGCGGCUUGUCACGUCGGGUGUGAAAGCCCGGGGCUUAACCCCGGGUCUGCAUUC
rnacentral:rRNA from 2 species